GAUGAACGCUAGCUGGAGGCUUAAUACAUGCAAGUCGAGCGGGAUUGGGUAGCAAUACCCAUGAGAGCGGCGCACGGGUGAGUAACGCGUACACGACCUACCUCUAACAGGGGGAUAGCCCUGGGAAACUGGGAUUAAUACCGCAUAUAAUUCUGAAUAAUAAAGGUUUGGAAUGAAAGCUGAGGCGGUUAGAGAUGGGUGUGCGUCUGAUUAGCUAGUUGGUAGGGUAACGGCCUACCAAGGCGAUGAUCAGUAGGGGGCGUGAGAGCGUGGUCCCCCACACGGGUACUGAGACACGGACCCGACUCCUACGGGAGGCAGCAGUAAGGAAUAUUGGUCAAUGGGCGAAAGCCUGAACCAGCCAUCCAGCGUGCAGGAAGAAGGCCCUAUGGGUUGUAAACUGCUUUUAUCAGGGAAGAAACCUCUGGAUUUACUCCGGAGCUGACGGUACCUGAAGAAUAAGCACCGGCUAACUCCGUGCCAGCAGCCGCAGUAA
rnacentral:rRNA from 1 species